rnacentral:lncRNA from 1 species
UGGGCACAGUUUGCUCAAGGAAGGGCACUUUUUCUCUUCUGACCACUCUGCCAAGGCAGCUUGAGACGUCUGGGCUGGGCGGGAAGUGAACAGGGCGAGGCCCCUAAGCUCCCUCCGCCGCCUUGAUAAGUGGUGACUCACGGGCCUCAGAGCUGGACUUUGAAGUUGGGCUCUGUUUGUCUUUGCUACCAAAUGCGAGGAAGCAUGGGCGAUGCCCCGCCACUGGUGGUGGUUGCUUGGUGCCAACUCAUCUAGAGAGGUGGCUCGGAGGGUUUCACCAGCUGUUUCUCUCUGACCCCCCAGAAAUGCCGUCUGUGUUCAGGAAACACAGGGCACACCUCCUCUGGGGGAGCUGUGUUCCUGUCAGGGCCACUCAGGCCAGUGGCCAGGGGAUGAGCUUGUAGCUGCCAGGCAGACUGUGGCGCCCCCUGGAGGGACAGAUCAGCCGGGUGCCUGCUCCCCGUUUCAGGGAGGAAGCCUGAGGUGCAGGUGGUUCCGGGACAUGCUGCCACCUUCAGGAUCUCCUGUCUUCCCCAGUGGAUGACCCAGGGUGGGGCAAGGGUGGCUCCUGUAGGGUGCAGGUCCCCAGAAGGGCUGUGUGUGCCGGCAGCACCUGCUGCAGCUCCCCAGGGUGUGCCUCACAGGGCUGAGGGGCAGUUUCUCUCCACUGUCUCCCUGAGGAGUCAGAACCUGCAGGCACCUCUGCUGUGGCCUGCCUCUGGCUGAGGCAGGAGGAGCACAAGUUCAAGGCCAGCCCAACACUAAGAGAGACCGCAGCAGCUUAGCAAGACCCCCGAAUCAAAUGUCA